GUGCAGAAAGUUAUCCCUUUCCAACCUACUUGUGGCUUCAGAGGGAGUCAGUCUGCUACAUUAUUGCAGGUGUCUUUCUAGCAUGAGCAUUUGGUCAUGUUGGUUCCUUACAUCUUCAACACUU
rnacentral:snoRNA from 1 species